rfam:Mycobacterium sp. SP-6446 contig_222, whole genome shotgun sequence.
GGCAGGUUGCCCGAGCGGCCAAUGGGAGCGGACUGUAAAUCCGUCGGCUUACGCCUACACAGGUUCGAAUCCUGUACCUGCCA